GACUAUCUUGAUUUGCUGAAAAAUACUGAAUUUGUUUUAUUUAUUCACCAUCCAUUUAGUGUCAAAUUAUGAGAGAGAGAUAUACACAUAUCAUUGAUUAAUGAUAUCUAUUUUAGUAAAUGGACUUCAUUAAUAGGUCUCACUAAUCUAUUACUUAUGCCUAUAAAUAGACACUAAAUAGAGAUAGAUACAUGAAAGAAAUCUAAAUUUUAAAAUAAAAA
rnacentral:lncRNA from 1 species